UAUAACAAUAACCCCAAUUUAUUAAAUAGAUAAAGAUAAUGCCAUUUAAGUCAAAAGUCUGAAAUACUGAUAAUAAUGCGGAAUAUCUAACAAAAUAACAAUACAGCCCAACUAGGACCCGAUGUCACGAACAUGAGCCUCUAGAAUACAGAGUAAUAUCCUACUACAAAGUCUGUCUAAAACUGAAAAUACGGAAAUAAAUGAUAGAAAUAGAGGGGAGAAUCAUCGGCUGUGAACACCCUGCAGAUACCUCAAAAUACUCCCGAAAUAAAACUUUGAAUCAACUAGAUCUACUCAGCCUGAGACUACCCUGGAUCAGCACGCAAGGUGCAGGGAGUAAAGUGAGUACUCCGACCCAAUGAGUAAUAAACAUAACUACAGUCUGUAAGGAAGAAAACGCAGAAAAUGCACAAACUUUUCUAUAUCUAGCAGCUCAUAUCCAAAAUAGUGGAAACAGUAUACAACAAGUUAUACAGUUAAGAAAUAAUGCAUGAAAGAAUGCAACACAUAUAACGGUACACACUAGUACCCGCUGCGGCGUGAAGCCCACUCCACUUAUCUAACGUCGAUGGCGCUCAUUGGGGGUGUGUACUGACUCCUGAGGGGCUCCUAUAGUCCAAGCGCAAUAUCAGCCAGGUAUUGGCAUAAAAUAAGCUCUCGGCCUCAAUAUCAAUAUAUAUAAUCGCUGCGGCGUGAAACCUGAUUCAUAUCAAGGAAACAUCCUCACUACCGGGUCCCCGACCCAUCUCAAUAAAAUAAGUUCACACCAAUUGGGCGUGACAUACUAUAGGGAUUUUAGCCCUCACAUCCUUAUUCAUUUAAUGUUAAUGUAUAAAAUACAGUUAUUAUAUUAUUUUUGACAUUUGAAAACAUGACUGAGAAUCUAUGUUAUGCACAAAAAUGAGGAAAACACAUAAGGAUCCCCUAAGGAUUCUACAGGUCGGCACAAGGCUCAAACACGGCAAUAAGCCCAAUUCACAAUAAUAAAGUAUGCAUCUCAAUCGCCAAUAUAGUAAACAUUAACACUUGGAAUGGACUAAGUCUGAAUCCCCAAUAGUAAACGACCCCGCUCUCAUCGUGGAAUGCAUCUCACACCUCAAUAUAGCAUUAGAAUGUGAAAGUCUGGGGUUUCAAACCCUCAGAGCAGCAUUUACAUUCAUUACUCACCUCUAGCCGGCCGAAAACUAGCUAGCAAUGUCCUUGCCUCUCGAAUCGACCUCCUCGCAUGUCGAAUCUGGCCAAAACUACAACGAAUACAUUACAAUAGUCUAAGGGAAUAUAACCCAAUCAAAAAGACUCAAAAAAUAUCAAAAACCACGAAAUUUGCAAAACCCGAGCCCUGGGCUCACUUUUCGAAAGUCAAAAAAUUUAACACCAAAAUAUUUCUUAUCUCUCCACGAGUCUAUUCAUGUAAAAUUUAUCAAAAUCAGAGUCCAAAUGCUCCCAUAAAUUCCAAUUUCUCAUAAAAAACCCAAGCCCUAGUUCUUCCCCUUUUUACUCAAAUUUCAUGAAUUUAGGUGUUGAAAUCACAAUUAGAUGAUGUUUCUAGGCCAUAGGGCUUACCUCCAAUCGAUUCCUAGUCAAAAACCUCUAAAUUCCUCAUCAAAAGCUCCCAAGGUUGCUUGAGAAUGGUGGAAAAUAGACUUGGUUCGCGGAUGAAAUGUUAUUAAAAACCCUCUCUGCUCGUCUAUUUCCUUCUAUGCGAACGCGAGACCCCCCCCCCCCCCNNNNNNNNNNNNNNNNNNNNNNNNNNNNNNNNNNNNNNNNNNNNNNNNNNNNNNNNNNNNNNNNNNNNNNNNNNNNNNNNNNNNNNNNNNNNNCCCCCCCCCCCCUCGCGUUCACGAUGCACAAAAAUUCCUCAGAUCAAAUUAAGCCUUCGCAAAUGUAUCUGGUCUCCCGCGAACGUGAAGGCGCAGGGCACAGACAUAUGCGAACUCGACCUAUUGAACAGGAACGCGUUGAACACCCAGACUGACCCUCUACUUUACUCUACGUGAACGCGUGCCCCAUCCCGCGAACGCGAAGCGCCAAUGCCUCAACCUACGCGACCACGUUGAUCAUUUUCCUGACCUCCAAAAUUAACCCUACGCGAACGUGACACUUGCCACGUGAAUGCGAAGGCUUAAAAAUAGUCUACACUGCUGUUGCAUUUUCUGCAACACUCAAAGUCCAAAAAUCCUUCUGUUAAUCACCCGGAAUCACCCCGAGGCCCAAGGGACCUCGACCAAAAACACCAACAUAUACCAAAACAUCAUACAAACUUAUUCCAAUCAUCAUAACACGUCAAACAACACUAAAAUCAUAAAUUCACAUAAGAUUCAAGCCUAAGUUUCUUCAAAACUUCCGAAUUGCACAUUCGAUAAAAAACCCGACCUAAACACCUCCGAAUGACCUGAAAUUUUACAUAGAUAUCCAAAAUUACCUAACAGAGCUACUGUAACUCUCGAAAUUCCAUUUCAAGCCUUGAAUCAUAAUCUCACCUAUCAAUCGGAAAUCGCCAAAAUUUAAACUUCGCCAAUUCAAGCCUAAUUCUGCAUCGGACCUCAAAAUUCAAUUCCGAUAGCACUCCUAAGUCAUAAUCAUCCCCCGAAGCUAAUCAAAUCAUCAUGAUUCACAUCUGAGCCCUAUAACUAAAUAGUCAACUUCCAGUUGACUUUUCCAAAGUAAGCUUCCCUUUAAGAGACUAAAUGUCUCAUUUUCAUCUGAAACCAAUCCAAUUCUACCUGAUAAACUCAAAUACUGAUAUUGAAACAUAGAUAAGUAUAAUAUGAGGUAAACAAGGCGGUAACUCACGUGACAACGGGCCGGGUCAUCACAAAAUAUAGUCUCGAGUUGAUUACAAUGAGCAAGCAAUUAAAUCACAGAACACUAAUCAGAAAUGUGACAGGACUAUUGAAAUUACGAAUCUACAUUAGAGAAUCAUCAUCAAUUCCAUUUCAUAUCUCAACAUGUGAAGCUACAUGAUAGAGUCUCGAGGUAUGUACCUAGAAUGAGAAAGGAAUAGAAAAUGAGCAAAUCAACAGCAACACAGGACUUAGCAAAAGCUCCAGAAAUCCAGCAAGGGAUAACGGGGUCUCGAAAAAUAAGUAAUUUCUGCUGGGCCUUUAUCCUUUUUGUAGGUUCAUUAGGCUUCUUAUUAGUUGGAACUUCCAGUUAUCUUGGUAGAAAUUUGAUAUCUUUUUUUCCGCCUCAGCAAAUCAUUUUUUUUCCACAUCUGCUGGGCCUUUAUCCUUUUUGUAGGUUCAUUAGGCUUCUUAUUAGUUGGAACUUCCAGUUAUCUUGGUAGAAAUUUGAUAUUUUUUUCCCGCCUCAGCAAAUCAUUUUUUUUACUUAAAGUAGACUCUUAAACACCCAAGAGUGCUUCAGUGAUCAACAAUCACUAAAACUGGCUCAAAAUUGAUCCGUUUGAACCCAAAUCAACUAAAAACCAAAUCAGAGAUCAUUGUGGACUUUAAUUACUAGAAUCUGAACUAAGAGAAGUCAAUCAAUCACAACAUUUGAAAUUAAACUUGAGGAAUAGAUGGAAAAGUACUAUUUUUUGGGGUUUUCAGCUUUUGUAUAUAUAUUUUUUGAUUUUUUUAGGUUGGAAAAAGGGAUUUCAAACUUUGAGAUCUAGAAUUUAAAAUCUGAAAUUCAAAUAUUUCAAUCCGGAAACUAUGGCCUAUUUGUUGGGAAUUAGAUGACUGAAAAAAGACCCCUCACCAAGGCAAUUGUGAUGCAUUUUAUAGGCAUCCAGAAGAGAGCAACAGACUUCAAAAUUUCUUUUAGGUCCCUGUUAAUUUUCCACUUUUAGUCCCUGUAUUUUUAACUUGGGACACAAGGACCUACCACUAUCAAUCUAAACUUUUAACUACCACUCAUCCUAGAAGCUUCUAGUAAUUUCCAAAUUCAGUCCCCAAAUGAAAUCCCCAAAUUAACCCUUUAUUAACUAAUUAUACUUAGGAUUGACCCACUAACUCUAAUCAACUAAACUAAACAUGGAUGUACUAAACUAUAACUAAAAGUUAUCUGACAAAAAAAAAAAGAAUUAAUCACAGAAUUUGUUCAAUUAUUAACCAACUCGAUCAACAAUAAAAAGUAUACCACUAUAUUAGUCUAACAGAACUAAGCAUAGAGGUCAAGCUAAACUAGAAAACAUUUAAAAGACAACUACCAUAUUGAACUAAUCGGAACGAAUAGUUAGCAGGCGAUAGUUAAACUAAAAAUCAAAACCUAUCGGACCCUAAACAUUAACUAAUCAUGCAAACUAAUUAUUGUCAAAAUAAUUCUAACACUCUAAUUGAAUCCACAUGCUAGCAAGAAAAAUAGGGAUAUAAGAGUGACUGAAAAAGAAAUAAAAAGGAAGGGAACAAACUUACUAAACAAAAUCCGUCCAGUUCAUCAAUUCUCUAAUUUGGCCAUUUCCGAUGAAAUUCGAGCUCUAAUGGCACUAAAAUCUUUAUGAGGUCAGUCCAGGAACCCUAUCAUAUCUCAUUUGGUAAGGAUUGGUUAUUUAAGUUUUGGCUAGAGAAUCUAAAAAUAUAAAUUCGAGAAUUUACAGUGAGAUUCGAGAUGUGUGGUUAUGAGGGUUGGGUAGAGAACGAUAAGGAGAACCUAUGGUGUGAAUUUGGGAUAAGUGACAUCAUGGCCAAAAAACUUUAAAUGGAUAUUCGAUGAGCUCUAGUGGGAUUUGAAAGAAACAAGCAACAUAUUCGAGUAGAGGAGGCGGAGAGGAAGUUAGGGUGUUAUUUUGGGGUGGUUUGGAGGUGGUAACGUUCACCGCCGGCGGCGACUUCCGGCGGCGUUACAGAGAUACGAGGAAGACGACUUAUGUAUUAGGGUUAGUUAAUUUUUUU
rnacentral:lncRNA from 1 species